GUCUACGGCCAUGCCAUCCUGAACGUGCCUGAUCUUGUCUGAUCUCAGAAGCUAAGCAGGGUCGGGCCUGGUUAGUACUUGGAUGGGAGACCACCUAGGAAGACCAGGUGCUGUAGGUG
rnacentral:rRNA from 1 species